UACGGGGGGGGCAAGCGUUGUUCGGAAUUACUGGGCGUAAAGGGUUUGUAGGUGGCCCGCUAAGUCAGACGUGAAAUCCCUCAGCUUAACUGGGGAACUGCGUCUGAUACUGGAUGGCUUGGAUCCGGGAGAGGGAUGCGGAAUUCCAGGUGUAGCGGUGAAAUGCGUAGAUAUCUGGAGGAACACCGGUGGCGAAGGCGGCAUCCUGGACCGGUAUUGACGCUGAGGAGCGAAAGCCAGGGGAGCAAACGGG
rnacentral:rRNA from 1 species